GAUCGAGAUCGUGGAGGAACC
rnacentral:miRNA from 1 species